GCUAAGCUCUUUUUUUUGAAAGAAAAGUCAUCAAAGGGUCUAAGAAGUUGCCAGAUCUAGAAAUAAAAGUCUCUAAUUUGGCAACACAGAUGAUAUCUUCUGCUCAACCCUAAAGGGACAAAAGUUAAUGAUUCAGGUUUUACUAUGCAAAAUAUUGAAUAAUUGUCUGGUUUUUGUUAUGUUUUUUUUGCACUGCUGUUCAAACUGGUGUAACUGUGCAUCUUAGUGGAUCUGUACUGAAGGAAAGAGUUUACAGCAUGCAGAGAGUUAGGUGCAUGCGUUCCUUUGGGAAUCUCAAAGUGAAAGAACGUUAAUCUCUUCCUGCUACACUCCCCGACUUCCACAUUACAUUCCUCGGCAAAAAAAAAACGGAAAGCUUUUUCCCCGAUCUGUCAGUGGAGUGAUGGCUAUCAGGAGUAGCCCGGGUCAGGGAAGGAGGUAAACACGGCCGUGCGAGGAGAGGAACCAAUGAUAUUAUCAAACUUCUGGCUCCAGACAGUUCCCUCGCUGCCUCUGUUUUCCUUUCUCAACCCUGAGUCAUGCUACAUUCAUGUCUGAAGGUCUGAGCACGCUGCCAAGAAUGCUUGAUCUUUAAUUAAUUAUUAGCGUUAAUUGUUCUGGUCUUUCAAUAACUAACACCUGAUACUGACCCCAUCAAUGUGUUCGUUUUAUCAGGCCACACUGUUCUGGACACUAGGGAAGGAUGUUGGAGUCCUCCUACUGAACAAGAAUUUGACAAAGCUUACAGUUGCAACUUCAAAUGGAUGGAGAGUGGGUGUGGCCUAAUAUUCUAAUGCACACAAUUGACUGAUAGGCUACAUGUUUUAGACUUCCAGAAUGCUACACAACUAAACAGCACAAGCAACAAUAAUCUGGAUUGUUCAAGACCGGCCUUUUCUCAGUAGGUUAGAUUUUGACCUUUUAGGUCAAGCUAGUUUAUAAGCUGUUAAUUCAGCUUUUGCUUGCUAGGUUAGCUCUUAGCCGUUACAUCAGAUUUUGCUUGCUAGGUUAGCUCUUAGCCGUUACAUCGGCUUUUGCUUGCUAGGUUAGCUCUUAGCCGUUACAUCGGCUUUUGCUUGCUAGGUUAGCUCUUAGCCGUUACAUCAGCUUUCUCUUGCUAGGUUAGCUCUUAGCCGUUACAUCAGCUUUUGCUAACUAGGUUAGCUCUUAGCCGUUACAUCAGCUUUUGCUUGCUAGGUUAGCGCUUAGCCGUUUAUAUCAGCUUUUGCUUGCUAGGUUAGCUCUUUAGCCGUUACAUCAGCUUUUGCUUGCUAGGUUAGCUCUUAGCCGUUACAUCAGCUUUUGCUUGCUAUGUUAGCUCUUAGCCGUUACAUUAGCUUUUGCUUGCUGGGUUAGCUCUUAGCCGUUACAUUAGCUUUUGCUUGCUGGGUUAGCUCUUAGCCGUUACAUCAGCUUUUGCUUGCUAGGUUAGCUCUUAGCCGUUACAUUAGCUUUUGCUUGCUGGGUUAGCUCUUAGCCGUUACAUCAGCUUUUGCUUGCUAGGUUAGCUCUUAGCCGUUACAUUAGCUUUUGCUUGCUGGGUUAGCUCUUAGCCGUUACAUCAGCUUUUGCUUGCUAGGUUAGCUCUUAGCCGUUACAUUAGCUUUUGCUUGCUGGGUUAGCUCUUAGCCGUU
ensembl:lncRNA